UUUGGUGAUGAUGGCAGAGAGGGUCACACCCGUUCCCAUACCGAACACGGAAGUUAAGCUCUCUAGCGCCGAUGGUAGUUGGGACCUUGUCCCUGUGAGAGUAGGACGUCGCCAAGC
rnacentral:rRNA from 1 species